rnacentral:misc_RNA from 1 species
CGUAAACUAUUUUGAUAGGUUCAUUUCAACUUUGAAGUUUCCAAGAGAUAAGCCUUGGCUGAGUCAACUUACUGCGGUGGCUUGUUUGUCUCUGGCUGCCAAAGUGGAGGAGACCCAAGUGCCUCUUCUUUUAGACUUGCAAGUGGAGGAAUCAAAGUAUGUUUUCGAAGCCAAGACUAUAAAGAGAAUGGAGCUUCUGGUGCUCUCUACUCUUCAGUGGAGGAUGAAUCCUGUGACGCCAAUUUCCUUCUUUGAUCACAUUAUAAGGAGGCUUGGACUAAAGAAUCAAUUACAUUGGGAAUUUCUUAGGAAAUGUGAGCGUUUACUUC